UGGGGAAUAUUGCACAAUGGGCGCAAGCCUGAUGCAGCCAUGCCGCGUGUAUGAAGAAGGCCUUCGGGUUGUAAAGUACUUUCAGCGGGGAGGAAGGCGAUAAGGUUAAUAACCUUGUCGAUUGACGUUACCCGCAGAAGAAGCACCGGCUAACUCCGUGCCAGCAGCCGCGGUAAUACGGAGGGUGCAAGCGUUAAUCGGAAUUACUGGGCGUAAAGCGCACGCAGGCGGUCUGUCAAGUCGGAUGUGAAAUCCCCGGGCUCAACCUGGGAACUGCAUUCGAAACUGGCAGGCUAAAGUCUUGUAGAGGGGGGUAGAAUUCCAGGUGUAGCGGUGAAAUGCGUAGAGAUCUGGAGGAAUACCGGUGGCGAAGGCGGCCCCCUGGACAAAGACUGACGCUCAGGUGCGAAAGCGUGGGGAGCAAACA
rnacentral:rRNA from 1 species